AGGAUGAACGCUGGCGGCGUGCUUAACACAUGCAAGUCACGGGGGCCCAGCAAUGGGUAACCGGCGAACGGGUGCGUAACACGUGAGCAACCUACCUAAGUGAGGGGGAUAGCCGGGCCAACGCCCGGGUAAUACCGCAUACGCUCGAGGAGAGGCAUUUCAUCUCGAGGAAACCUACGGGGCACUAUGAGGGGCUCGCGGCCUAUCAGCUAGUUGGUGAGGUAACGGCUCACCAAGGCGACGACGGGUAGC
rnacentral:rRNA from 1 species